rnacentral:rRNA from 1 species
AUGACUCUAUGUAUGUAUAACCUUCCUCCUUGGAUGUGCAUGAAGCGGAAGUUCAUUAUGAUGCUAGUUCUCAUCCAAGGCCCUAAGCAACCCGGCAACGACAUUGAUGUGUACCUAAGGCCAUUAGUUGAAGAACUUUUACAGAUGUGGAAUGGAAACGGUGUACGUACGUGGGAUGAGCACAGACAGGAGGAAUUUAACCUUAAGGCAUUGCUGUUCGUGACCAUCAACGAUUGGCCCGCUCUCAGUAACCUUUCAGGACAGACAAACAAAGGAUACCACACAUGCACGCACUGUUUAGAUGACACUUAA